CCUGCACGCCUCUGACUACCCGCGACCUCUGCUGCGGUGGCUGUUCCAGUUGUUAACAUGGCCUCCAGAAACCUCUUCAAGAGCUUUUGAUCUCCUCUGGGAUCUCAGCAUAGAUGGACUAUUCCGUCAGCCUGAUGCAGACAUGCGCUUUUGGUGUCCCUCACUGCAGGAGGUCAAGGAGGUGUUCCACAGCCUGGGAGCCUACAACCCUGCCCUC